UGACGGCUGAGUGUCCUACCCCCGAUGGGCGGGUUCAGAGAGGGAGACAGGGGAGGGGGUGGCGGUUAGGGCCGGGCCGCCGCUCGCACAGGAAGUGCGACUCUGGCCUCGCAGGCAGCGCCCGGGCGAGCGCCAGCCCGCGCUCUCCUCCUCCUCCUCCGCGACUCCGGCUCGCGCCCUCCCGCUCGCACGCACACCGGCCGCACCGGCCGCGGGAAGGCGGGCGGCGGACUGCGCGCCGGGCCUCCACCUUCCGCCCGGAACCCACCCCCGGGAGGGCACACACUCUCACAAGCACGCACACACACACUCACUCUCUCACACAAAAAGGCGGCGGGCGGGGGAGCGCGGGCGGGGUCGGAGCGUUGGCGCCUCGGGCGGGCAGCUCCCGGGGCGGGGGGAGGGGAGGAGAGAGGCGCGGAGGGANNNNNNNNNNNNNNNNNNNNNNNNNNNNNNNNNNNNNNNNNNNNNNNNNNNNNNNNNNNNNNNNNNNNNNNNNNNNNNNNNNNNNNNNNNNNNNNNNNNGGGGGGAGGGGAGGAGAGAGGCGCGGAGGGAGGGGAGAGGCGAGGGGAGGAGAAAGCGGCGCGAGGGGGGAGCCGGGCCGGGGCUAAGCCGCUCCUCACCUGGGCCGCCGCCGCCGCCGCCGCCACCGCGCCGUUUCCGUGCUGCUGCUGCUGCUGCUGCAGAUACUCGCCGUGGCCGCCGCCGCCGCCGCCGCUGUCCACGUCCAAGGCAGCCAUUUCCUCUUGUUUCACGGGCUUUUCGGGAGCUGCAGGCACAGCGCGGGGGGGUGGGGGUGGGGAGGAAGGCGGGUGGAGGAGAGGGAGGGGGCCCGCGGGCCGAGGCGAAAUUACUCCGAAAGCCCGGACCGAGUCCCCUUCCCCUCCCCCACCCGCCCCCCGGCGGCGGCGGCGGCGGCGGCGGCGGCUCCCUCCUCCCCUCCUGCUGCUGCCCCCGCCCGCCGCUGCCUGUAACCCUCCUCCUCCUCCUCUUUCCCUCCUCCUCCUCCUCCCCGCGCUGCCCCUGCCCCCUCUCCUCUCCUCUCCUCCCCUUUCCCUUCGCGCCGCUCGCUCUCACUCGCGCUCGCUCCUCUCGCACCGUCAGUCACUCACACGCCCGCCCGACCGCCGCCCGCGCCCGCACACAGGGGGAUGCGCUCCCGGCGGACCGGGCCGCCCGCCCCGGGCCCGGCAGGGACACUGCGUUGCUGGGGCUUGAAGGGUGGACGGUAGCUGGCGGGGAGGGGAGGAAGGCGGAGGGGAUUGCGGCUUUCUGCCUCUCACAAACACUCGGUCGCACACAGAAGGCCGGGAGCCGGCGGAGGCAGCCCCCGGCUGGCUGUUGUCGGCGGCAGCGGCGGCGACGGCAGCAGCAAGGGUUGCUCUCUCUCGGUUUUACGUACCGGUCAUAGUGUGUUAUAGGGCACCUCAGGCGGGGCUCCCCGCCGCCUUACACAUGGUGAGGAGCGAAGGCGGCGGCGGCGGGAGAGGAUGCGGGAAGCGGCGGCGGACACGGCCGGAGCGGUCCGGGGAUUUUUUUUUCCUAUUUUGAUUGACUGUGCGGGAAACACAAAAGGUGGAGCCUCCAGCCCAAAAGGGGGGAAGAGGGUGACAGCCCGCCCGGAAGUUCCGCCCCUCUUCUCCGCGCUCAUUUGCCAUCACGCUCUUCGUCGCCAGCUCUCAUUGGCCCAGACGCCCGUCCGUCACUCUGCCUGGCGGCACGCUUCCUGUUUGCCCCUCGGGUGGAAGGGGAGAGACAAUGAGCGGCCGUGGCGGCGUAGCUUCCCGAGAGCGGCCAAAGCUAGCCUGUUACCCCGCUGUGCCCGCCUCGUUCGUCGGCUGCCGCUGCCAGGGCAAAACGCAGGCCUCUUCCACCUUGUAGGCGCUCGGAGCACGCCCCGGCAAGCCGUGGGGGAGCUGAGCUGGGUUGGAGAUCCCGUCCCCGAAGGCUCGGGCUCCACUCGACGCUUCCUCCAUCCUGGCAGUAGCCGGAUCUCCCCAGGGCCUCUCGCUCUCCGAGCCGCUGCUUCCCUUCGCUGCCGGGAGGCCGCUGCCGCUCAGCCCCGGGGCUGCUGCUGCGGCCGCUGCUGCUACUGAGCAAACCAGGCCCGCCCCGCGAGCCCGGGGGGAGGGAGCUGGUAUUGGGGGAGACACCCCCUCCGAGGCUGGAGGAGGAUUUUCUCUCACACACGUUCAGCUCUUAGAUUCAGUCUGAGCCACCUCGUUCUCAUCGCCCUUUGCCCCUGGUUUCCAAACUGUCUUCCACUUUUACGUACCCUGGAAGCAGGCAUUUUGAACAGGAAUCUUGGAAAUUCACCUCACAGGAGAGCUUUCAUUCUGGCCAGUGGCACUGAAACAGACAAGUAUAAUUCAUUUAACAUAUAGUGUAUAUAUUCAAAAGGACAAGAAUCCUUAAAAAAAAAAAAUUCAGUCAUAAUCGUUUUGUUGCACAAACAUUAUUUAAUCGUCUUGGUAGCAAGUGAAAUAUCUGAAAAAUCCCAGCAAUAAUUGCCAACAUUUUUAAAACAGUGAAUCUCAGUGAAGUAUCUUUUUUUUUUCUUGGACCAUUCAUUUGAAAUCUCGUUUCACUUACUGGCCAGGUUAACACACCUUUGCUCUUUGGCAUCCAUGAUACCUUGAUGUCAUCGGGGUAGGAGAAAUCGUCAGUUUUAUCUGUGUGUGUUUUGCCAAGAGACAUCUCUGCCUAUUACACACUGGAUCUAAUUGCCAAGAAAGAGGUUAAACUCAAAGAGAUGGAUAUGGUGCCCACAAUACACUUUUUAUUAGAACUCUGGCUCCAAAAAUUAGUGUUCCAAUUGUGAUUGGUAAAUAAAGUUGUACUGGGGGCUGGAGUUGUAAAGUCCAAAGACUUGAACAAGGUUUUGUGUGCACUGACAAGAAUUUAAAAACCCUUAUAUGAAAAACUGAGUUUGCAUCUCAUUUCUUCUAUUUCCAUAUUCUGCUCACUGAAUCAGAAACAUUGUAUGAUUAAUGGGCUCUUAAUUGUGCAAAAGAUAGAAUUCCCAAGGAAAUUACUUAAAAACCACAAACAAGCAAAAACAAAAAAAGUUCUGAAUCCACGAAUGAAGUUGAUCUAACACAAUUUUGGGUCUUACAUAAGUACAAGAAUCACUUUUUAAAGCAAAUUGUAUAAACCCUGUACCAUUUUAUACUUAAAUUCUGAAGGUGUUAUAGAAUAAGCUGAUAAUUGAAAAAGAGAUGGAAAGCUUGAGCGAGGACAAGUGAAAACUAGUGGAGUGGGAGAGAGGGAGGGAAGUCACAGCAUUGUCACUUUUUCUACUUACGUGGAUGUACUGAGUAGAGAAUAGUACAUUUUUAGGUGCUUUUCUAGGAAUGGGGAUGUGGUUUAUGAGUCUAAGCAUACGACUUCCAUGCCCCUUUCACAAAGCCUUAGUGUAGCCACCCAUAGGAAGCAAAGUACUUGGCCACAGAAACUCAGUUUGUUUCCUCAGUGAUACCAAGUGACAGUUGGAAAUGAAAAAAAAAAAUCAUUUUCAAACGUUUUUGGUCCAUAUACCAUUCUGACAAGAUGCAGAAACACUUAAUGUAAUCUAAUUGAAAAAACCGUAACAACCUACCAGAGCUAACUAUUCUACUUUUAUAACUACAGUGCUUUUAAGAGACUCAACUACCAAAAGUAUCACUACCACAUAAUCAGAUUCAGAGGACCUGCUCAGACCACACUGAAAAGAGUUACUUGUGGAAUAUCUUAAGAAACCUGGAAAUGAAGGUAGUCUCUGAAAAGAACAUGUUCUCUUAGCUAUUUCAGUACUGUAGCCAAAUCUUGAAAUGCAGUCUGUGUUAAUUAAAAGGUAUUUUCUCUGUGGAAGAUAGCUUCUCAAAGGUACCCGCUGUUACGUUACAUAGGAACUCAGAAAUCGCACUUGCUUAUCAGAAAGGGAUCACUGUGCUAGGUAUUAUUUAUACUGUCCUCUUUCCAAAGAUGAUUUGAGGAACCUCUUGCUGGCCACUGUUUACAUCACAGCAGGAGAUCUGAAUGUCACUUUAUUUUCCCUUUUUCUCAGUUUCCUCACUUAUUUUUUUUAAUCUUACAUGUGUGUUUUUGUUUUUUUUUACAUGUGUUUUUAUAAGUUAAAUCUUUUGGAAACUAUGGUGAAUGUCAGAGUGCCUCAAAGACUUCUAUAGACCCACUGUCAUGAACUCUCUCACCCAUCUUCAUGCAGUACCCUUUUUCUUUCCAAAGAAAAGCCACUAAAUANNNNNNNNNNNNNNNNNNNNNNNNNNNNNNNNNNNNNNNNNNNNNNNNNNNNNNNNNNNNNNNNNNNNNNNNNNNNNNNNNNNNNNNNNNNNNNNNNNNUCCAAAGAAAAGCCACUAAAUAAUACUUGAUUCACAUCUGCAAGAGCCUAGCCAUUCUGUAUUAAAAGCAGCGACAGCCCUGGUUAACUGCACCACACCUAAAGGACUCCCCUUUCCUUCACAGUCCCUACUACCUCUCUUCCCUUCUGAAUAUCUGUUAAGUGAACAAUAUAAAAUUACCAGUAUUCACCCAUUGUUGUCUAAAAAGGUGGCAAUUUUGU
ensembl:lncRNA